rnacentral:lncRNA from 1 species
UGUCAACAGGCAUCUCGAGCUAUCAUUAAGAAGCUCAGGACACACUUGUUGAGGCAGUGGCUGGCUGGCUGAACCAUGUGAGGACACUCUACCCACAUCAGCUUGGCAUCCUUGGGCCUCCAGAAA